AUUACUCACUUGUACUGGUAGCUCUGAAUUUCUCACUGGUGCUGGUUUUGCUUCCGUUCAGCAGCACGUCCGGACCGGACCUGCACAUCCAGGAGCAGCGCAGCGUGUCGUGCUCCCCCGCCGCCAGCCGACCACAGGUCUCUGCACCGUUACCAACCCACGCAACAUCGGAGCGGCUUCGCAGUAAAUAGCGCCGGGGCCAAGGAGAAGCAAGAAAUCCAACUUCACUUCACCAGGUCUGCACCUCCGACAGUGGCCACGAAAGACAAUGAGAAAAUCCAGCAAUACAAUAAUAGCAACCCCCCCUUAUUCCUGCCUUUACAGCAUGACUCUUUAGGACAAGGACUUUUUAAUUUCUUUACACAUCUUUCCCAGCAGAGUUACAUAUGUGUAAUCAAAAACAUAAUUUUAAAAACUAAGCAAAAAGUCAGUUUAUUAACUUUACCAAAGAAUAACUGAGGCUUCCAAUAAGAGGAAGACUGUGGCCAGCCUUCCUGCACACAACGUUGCGUUCAGGAGGCUGCGGUUACACAGCACAGAGGCCCCAGGGCUGGGGACGGCCCCCGAGCCCCUGUCCCGCCUGGAGCAGGUGGGAGAAGAGCGGCACCGCUGGAUCCUGGCACCAGCGCCCGGCUCCAUCUGUCAGGCCCACGCACYGAAGCAGAGCAACUGCCCGUAGAGGAGAACGAGCAGUUAUUGGGCCAAAAUCCAGCACAGCAGUGACUCCCCCGCCUCCCCCAGCCGCAGAGCUGGGAGCCCUCUCGCCAUUGCAGCCAGGUGCGGGAUAUUCCUCAUCCUAAAAAGGCCCAAGAGGCCCUUGAUACAGCACGGCAUCACAGAUUUCAUGCCAAAUCUUCUUUUCCAACUCUUUCUUUUUCUCUGGAGGGUKGUUGUUAUGAGAAAAACAUGGGUAAGCGUUAGUCAGGAU
rnacentral:lncRNA from 1 species